rnacentral:rRNA from 1 species
GACGAACGCUGGCGGCGUGCUUAACACAUGCAAGUCGAACGGAAAGGCCCUGCUUGUGUGGGGUGCUCGAGUGGCGAACGGGUGUGUAACACGUGAGUAACCUGCCCUUGACUUUGGGAUAACUUCAGGAAACUGGGGCUAAUACCGGAUAGGAGCUCCUGCUGCAUGGGGGGGGUUGGAAAGUUUCGGCGGGUGGGGAUGGACUCGCGGCUUAUCAGCUUGUUGGUGGGGUAGUGGCUUACCAAGGCUUUGACGGGUAGCCGGCCUGAGAGGGUGACCGGCCACAUUGGGACUGAGAUACGGCCCAGACUCCUACGGGAGGCAGCAGUGGGGAAUAUUGCACAAUGGGCGGAAGCCUGAUGCAGCAACGCCGCGUGCGGGAUGACGGCCUUCGGGUUGUAAACCGCUUUCGCCUGUGACGAAGCGUUAGUGACGGUAAUGGGUAAAGAAGCACCGGCUAACUACGUG